rnacentral:lncRNA from 1 species
AUGUCGGCGGGCAGCAGCUGCAGCCAGACUCCUAGCCGGGCCAUCUUCACUCGCCGCUUAGCCCUCAGCGAUGGCGUACAGCUCCCGCCCCGGGGACUACAGCACCACCCCAGGCUGCACGCUCUUCAGCACCACCCCAGCAGGAACCAGGAUCAUCUAUGACCGGAAAUUCCUGAUGGGAGUGUCGGAACUCACCUGUGGCCAAAACACCUCCCAAAGGACCUGCCAGCCAUUCCUGGGGUCACUAGCCCUACCAGCGAUGAGCCUCCCAAGCAAGCCAGUCAGAGCUACCUGCCCAGCAGCCCAGAAGAUAAGCCGGCAGGCGGUGAAGAGUCACAGUUUGAGAUGGGCAUUUAA